UACAGAGGUCUCAAGCGUUGUUCGGAUUCAUUGGGCGUAAAGGGUGCGUAGGCGGCGCGGUAAGUCGGGUGUGAAAUCUCGGAGCUUAACUCCGAAACUGCAUUCGAUACUGCCGUGCUUGAGGACUGGAGAGGAGACUGGAAUUUACGGUGUAGCGGUGAAAUGCGUAGAUAUCGUAAGGAAGACCAGUGGCGAAGGCGGGUCUCUGGACAGUUCCUGACGCUGAGGCACGAAGGUCAGGGGGAGCAAAACGGG
rnacentral:rRNA from 1 species